rnacentral:rRNA from 1 species
UCGACGGCAGCACAGUGUAGCAAUACAUGGGUGGCGAGUGGCGCACGGGUGCGUAACACGUAUGCAAUUUGCCCAUAACUGGGGGAUAGCCCUCCGAAAGGAGGAUUAAUACCCCAUAACCCAGCGAGGUGGCAUCACCUUUCUGGUAAAUCUCCGGAGGUUAUGGAUGAGCAUGCGUCUGAUUAGCUAGUUGGUGAGGUAACGGCUCACCAAGGCAACGAUCAGUAGGGGGUCUGAGAGGAUGAUCCCCCACACGGGUACUGAGACACGGACCCGACUCCUACGGGAGGCAGCAGUAAGGAAUAUUGGACAAUGGAGGCAACUCUGAUCCAGCCAUGCCGCGUGAAGGAUGAAGGCCCUACGGGUUGUAAACUUCUUUUCUCUUAGAAAAAACUACUGGUUUCGUACCGGUACUGAUUGUACAAGAGGAAUAAGCAUCGGCUAACUUCGUGCCAGCAGCCGCGGUAAUACGAAGGAUGCAAGCGUUAUCCGGAUUCACUGGGUUUAAAGGGUGUGCAGGUGGGGUAAUAAGUCGGUGGUGAAAGCCCCCGACUCAAUCGGGGAACUGCCAUAGAUACUGUUAUUCUUGAGUGUGGUUGAGGCGGAUGGAGUAUGACAUGUAGCGGUGAAAUGC